rnacentral:rRNA from 1 species
GACGAACGCUGGCGGCGUGCUUAACACAUGCAAGUCGAACGGGAUCCAAAGGCUUUUUGUUUUUGGUGAGAGUGGCGAACGGGUGAGUAACACGUGAGUAACCUGCCCCCUUCUUUUGGAUAACCGCAUGAAAGUGUGGCUAAUACAGGAUAUUCCAGGCUGGUCGCAUGAUUGGUUUGGGAAAUGGUUUGGUCUGGUGGGGGAUGGGCUCGCGGCCUAUCAGCUUGUUGGUGGGGUGAUGGCCUACCAAGGCGGUGACGGGUGGCCGGCCUGGGAGGGGGGGCUGUCACACUGGGACUGAGAUACGGCCCAGACGCCUACGGGAGGCAGCAGUGGGGGAUUUUGCACAAUGGGCGCAAGCCUGAUGCCGCGGCGCCGCGUGAGGGAUGAAGGCCUUCGGGUUGUAAACCUCUUUCGCUGGGUUGAAAGGCCAUGCUUUGGGUGUGGUUGAUUUGAACUGGUAAAGAAGUACCGGCUAACUACGUG